UCGGGAAUUUUGCGCAAUGGACGAAAGUCUGACGCAGCAACGCCGCGUGAGGGAUGACGGCCUUCGGGUUGUAAACCUCUUUUGUCAGGGACGAUAAUGACGGUACCUGACGAAUAAGCCACGGCUAACUACGUGCCAGCAGCCGCGGUAAUACGUAGGUGGCAAGCGUUGUCCGGAUUUACUGGGCGUAAAGAGCGCGCAGGCGGUCGAUCAAGUCCCGUGUGAAAGCCCCCGGCUCAACUGGGGAGGGUCACGGGAUACUGAUCGACUCGAAGGCAGGAGAGGGUAGUGGAAUUCCCGGUGUAGUGGUGAAAUGCGUAGAUAUCGGGAGGAACACCAGUGGCGAAGGCGACUACCUGGCCUGUUCUUGACGCUGAGGCGCGAAAGCUAGGGGAGCAAACGGGAUUAGAUACCCCGGUAGUCCUAGCCGUAAACGAUGGACACUAGGUGUUGGUGGUAUCAACCCGCUAGUGCCGAAGCUAACGCA
rnacentral:rRNA from 1 species